rnacentral:misc_RNA from 1 species
AAGUCGUAACAAGGUUUCCGUAGGUGAACCUGCGGAAGGAUCAUUAACACAUGAGAAAUCAUGUUUUAUAAACAAAACCAUACUAAACUAAAAUAAAACACUCUGUGAACUUGUACUCAAAACAAAACGCGAAAUAUGGGUUGUAAUGUUUUUGAUUUAAGGAAACUUUCUCAAAGACCGCUUAUCUCACAUAUUAUACCAUCUAUUUUUUUAAUAACUAAUAUUAACAAAACCAUUACUGUACAUGCCUAUCUACAUGGAGUUAUUUUACUGUGUAACUGUAGGACUGACUGAACUAAAACUUCAUUAAUCCUAACGGAUAUAAAUGAUUUUAAUAAAUAACAAAUUUAUACAACUCUUAACAAUGGAUAUCUUGGCUCUC